GACGAACGCUGGCGGCGUGCUUAACACAUGCAAGUCGAACGGAAAGGCCCUGCUUUUGUGGGGUGCUCGAGUGGCGAACGGGUGAGUAACACGUGAGUAACCUGCCCUUGACUUUGGGAUAACUUCAGGAAACUGGGGCUAAUACCGGAUAGGAGCUCCUGCUGCAUGGUGGGGGUUGGAAAGUUUCGGCGGUUGGGGAUGGACUCGCGGCUUAUCAGCUUGUUGGUGGGGUAGUGGCUUACCAAGGCUUUGACGGGUAGCCGGCCUGAGAGGGUGACCGGCCACAUUGGGACUGAGAUACGGCCCAGACUCCUACGGGAGGCAGAAGUGGGGAAUAGUGCACAAUGGGCGGAAGCCUGAUGCAGCAACGCCGCGUGCGGGAUGACGGCCUUCGGGUUGUAAACCGCUUUCGCCUGUGGCGAAGCGUGAGUGACGGUAAUGGGUAAAGAAGCACCGGCUAACUACGUG
rnacentral:rRNA from 1 species